UGGCGGACGGGUGAGUAAUGUCUGGGGAAACUGCCUGAUGGAGGGGGGAUAACUACUGGAAACGGUAGCUAAUACCGCAUAACGUCGCAAGACCAAAGAGGGGGACCUUCGGGCCUCUUGCCAUCGGAUGUGCCCAGAUGGGAUUAGCUAGUAGGUGGGGGUAACGGCUCACCUAGGCGACGAUCCCUAGCUGGUCUGAGAGGAUGACCAGCCACACUGGAACUGAGACACGGUCCAGACUCCUACGGGAGGCAGCAUG
rnacentral:rRNA from 1 species